rnacentral:rRNA from 1 species
CCUACGGGAGGCAGCAGUGGGGAAUAUUGCACAAUGGGCGCAAGCCUGAUGCAGCAACGCCGCGUGAGGGACGACGGCCUUCGGGUUGUAAACCUCUUUUAGUAGGGAAGAAGCGAAAGUGACGGUACCUGCAGAAAAAGCACCGGCUAACUACGUGCCAGCAGCCGCGGUAAUACGUAGGGUGCAAGCGUUAUCCGGAAUUAUUGGGCGUAAAGAGCUCGUAGGCGGUUUGUCGCGUCUGCUGUGAAAACCUGGAGGCUCAACCUCCAGCCUGCAGUGGGUACGGGCAGACUAGAGUGCGGUAGGGGAGAUUGGAAUUCCUGGUGUAGCGGUGGAAUGCGCAGAUAUCAGGAGGAACACCGAUGGCGAAGGCAGAUCUCUGGGCCGUAACUGACGCUGAGGAGCGAAAGCAUGGGGGGCGAACAGGAUUAGAUACCCUGGUAGUCCAUGCCGUAAACGUUGGGAACUAGAUGUAGGGACCAUUCCACGGUUUCUGUGUCGCAGCUACGCAUAACGUUACCCGUCCGUCGGGUAGGUACGGCCGGCGACGGACGUAAACCGUUAAACGUAGUAAGUUAGUACGGCGUGAGACGUGCCGAACGGACGACGACGAGGGAGGUAGG